rnacentral:misc_RNA from 1 species
CGGAGAUCAGCUCUUUCGAUUCCAGUAAAUAACAUGGGCGUAUGUGAUCAUGUUUCACUGAACAACACAUGCAAGGAAAUACCAAAGACACAUAGCUAGUAUUAUUCUUUUUUAUCUGAAAAUCAGCUAUUAAUGCCCAUGAAUUAAAGAAAAACUGAAAUGAUUAUAUAUAUAAACCCUCAGCUUUUCGUCAUCCAAACCUAAAUCUCACUGUGUUUUCGCAAGUAUACAAAAUGUGCUUUGACAUAUAUGCACGGUAUUCAUACCAGCUAUUGGAAAAAAUUACAAGAUGCUCUCUCACGUAUGUGGAACGGCAAGUCUAACAUCGUUGUGAACUUGAUCUACAGCCACAUUUAGCAAGCACUCACAGAUGAGGUGCAAACACUUGUAUCAUAUUGUACUUAGGGACAGUGGCAGAACACAAAAUAGUCACUAGGGUCGCAAAGCCAUGAAUAAAUUCUGCCUUCGAGCAUGUUCUGGAACAAGGCGCUGGAGAGUUACAGUAGGAAUUCCAGUGAGCUCUUGGGGCUUGAAAUUGUAAAGUGGUGGAAGAGGACGACCAUUGGGAAGACGAGUAUUAGGAUCCCUCAAUUCAUCAAAGAAUGGAUGAAUACAGGCCUCUAAAGCAGUGCAUCUCAAAUAAGGUGAAUACUGGAAAAAUCGACAAAUCAGGUCAACUGCUUCUGGAGGCAAUCGCUUCUGAAAAACCUUAUGCCAUGGGUGUGGCUUUAUCUGUGGAAAUUUAAACUCAGUGUAGUUUGGAUUCAUACAUUUUAUCUCCUCUCUAGUAGGUGUCCCCAAAACCUUUAUAAUCUCUACUAAUUGAUCAACCCCACUCUCUCCAGGAAACAAUGGCUGUCCAAGAAGUAACUCAG